rnacentral:rRNA from 1 species
GAGUUGAUCAUGGCUCAGGAUGAACGCUGGCGGUGUGCCAAUACAUGCAAGUCGAUCGGGCGUAGCAAUACGUCAGAGGCGUACGGGUGAGUAACACGUAGGUAACCUACCUUUAAGACUGGGAUACCCAGACGAAAGUUUGGCUAAUACCGGAUAACAACAUUUGAGGCAUCUCUUUUGUUUGAAAGGCGCUGCAAGGCGCCACUUUUAGAUGGACCUGCGUCGCAUUAGCUAGUUGGUGAGAUAAAAGCCCACCAAGGCUGGGAUGCGUAGCCGAUCUGAGAGGAUGACCGGCCACAAUGGGACUGAGACACGGCCCAUACUCCUACGGGAGGCAGCAGUAGGGAGUUUUCGGCAAUGGGGGAAACCCUGACCGAGCAACACCGCGUGAGUGAUGAAGGUCUUCGGAUCGUAAAGCUCUGUUACGAGGGACGAACGAUCGCUUUAGGAAAUGAGAGCGGUUUGACGGUACCUCGCCAGAAGCGACGGCUAACUACGUGCCAGCCGCCGC